AUUGAACGCUGGCGGCAUGCUUUACACAUGCAAGUCGAACGGUAACAGGCCGCAAGGUGCUGACUAGUGGCGAACGGGUGAGUAAUGCAUCGGAACGUGCCCCGUCGUGGGGGAUAACUACUCGCAAGAGUAGCUAAUACCGCAUACGAUCUAUGGAUGAAAGCGGGGGACCGUAAGACCUCGCGCGAUUGUAGCGGCCGAUGUCAGAUUAGGUAGUUGGUGGGGUAAAGGCUCACCAAGCCAACGAUCUGUAGCUGGUCUGAGAGGACGACCCGCCACACUGGGACUGAGACACGGCCCAGACUCCUACGGGAGGCAGCAGUGGGGAAUUUUGGACAAUGGGCGCAAGCCUGAUCCAGCAAUGCCGCGUGCAGGAAGAAGGCCUUCGGGUUGUAAAAUGCUUUUGUACGGAACGAAACGGCUCUGGUUAAUACCCGGGGCUAAUGACGGUACCGUAAGAAUAAGCACCGGCUAACUACGUG
rnacentral:rRNA from 1 species